UCGUAACAUUUUAUUAUGUAAAUAGGGGUGUCACAAUUUGGUAUCAGAGCGGGUUCCGUCCCGGCUCCGACCCGGGAUGGCGAUUUUUGGAGACCUGGUUUUAUUCGGUUUUGACGGUUUUAAACGAUUUCAAAAUAUUUUCGGGGAUUUGGGAAUUUUGAAAAUAAAAAUAAAUAGCACCUUUCCGUUCGAUAUCACUUCUCCUUAAAUGUUGGUAUCCAAAGUUCAGCGUAAGUUAACUUUUCGCUUUCCUUUUAGAUGCCGCCAAGGAGAAGAACCACCCGUGCCCAGACCGCCAGAGCCGUUAGAGACAAUGUAGAUGAGCAUGAGCAGCCCGCAGUUCCACCACCCGCGGCUCCACCAGUUGAUCAGGAUGCAUUGAGACAGAUGGUUCAGGAUGCCGCUAGACAGGCCGCUCAGGAGGCACUUCAGCAGAUUGCCCAGGAGGCAGCCAGGCAGGCCGCUCAGGAGGCCGCCCGCCGAGUAGCUGCUCAGGAGGUUGCUCGUCAGAUGGCUGCCGUUCAGCAGGGUCCUCAGGUUCAGGUGCAGCAGGGUCCGCAGAUUCGGGUUCAGCAAGUUCCACUGGUUCAGGUCCAACAGGAUCAGCAGGGUCCAGUUCAGCAGUUUGCUCAUGGUGUUCAGGAUCUACCGCCACCACCACCGCGACCUCAUGUUUACCCGGUUUAUGAUGAGAGGUUCUACAGGCUGACAUGUCAGAUGAGAAACAUGGAGAUGGAGCAUUUUAGCGGAACAGUGGAUGCUGUAGCUGCACAUGAUUGGAAGUUAGCCUUGCAGCGGAAGCUGGAGAUUAUUGAGUGUCCACCAGAGUUGUCGCUCAGAUUGACUAUGCAGUACCUUCGUGGAGAUGCUCUUAUAUGGUGGGAGGGAAUACGAUUGAGUCACUUUGGGCCAGAGAGGCUUACCUUCGCAGACUUCAUCCGAGAGUUCGAUAGGAAAUACUUUCCGAAGGAAGCUAUGGAUAGGAAGAAAUGCGAGUUCGAGCAUGUAAGUCAGGGUAAGAUGUCUAUCAGGGAGUAUGAGGUUGUGUUUAACCAACUUCGCAGGUUUGCUGGAGAGGGCAUUUUAGAGGAAGACCUGAUGAGGAAAUUUUUGAAUGGGAUGCGAGUAGAGAUUCGUAACAGGUGCCGUGUCGCCACUUAUCACAGAUUGGGAGACUUGGUGGAGAAAGCUGCCGAGCAGGAGGCAGGUUUGGCAGAGGAGCAGAAGUACACCAAGGCAGAUCAGCCUAAGUUUGGAGGGACUUUAGAGGCACAGCAGAGGACAUGGGACAAACCGAGCAUACAAUGCUUUUAUUGUGGAAAGAUGGGACAUAAGAGUAGGGUUUGUCGGAGUAGGCUAUUUGAUGCCCAGGUUGCGCCACCAGCAGCGGCAGCAGCACCAGUAGUGGAUGUUAGGAACUGUUUUGGUUGUAACCAGCCUGGUCACAUUUUCAGAGACUGUCCGAGGAGGGGUAAUGCAGCGCUUCCACCACCACCGAAGCGUUUAGCCAUCGCUCCACGUGUGUUUACGGUUGGAGAUCCCCAGGGAGCUGAGCCGAUAGCGGGUAUGUUCUUAUCAUACUUGCUUGUGUUAAUAUUUGUGGUUUUGUGGUUAUCUUGUAUAGUUCGAGAUUUGUGAAUCUCGUGUAUGAUUGGUUGUGGUUGGUGUGAGUUACCUCACAGCUUAUUUGACUUAAGAGCUUUUCAUAGUUUUGUGAGUUCGCGUUUGGUUAAGUUUUAGUCUUUUUAGAGGGAUCUUCUAACCGAAAGAUAAGCAGAUUUAGAUUGUUGUUAUGGAGAGCUUGUUGUUAUGGAGAGUUUGAGAGCGAUCAGGAAUUCAUCGUGAUGUACCUGUUAUCAUUUGAGUAUUAUGAUGGCACCGUCGAAGUUUUAUGGUGGGUCUGGUCGUACACCACUUUGUUGGACCAAAGUGGGGGAGCAAUAUGAGUUAGAACUAUUAAUGGUUCAAGAGACGGUAGAGCAAAGGAUAUGCUCAAGGAUUGGCUUUCGGAAGCCCAUGACGUCAGAGGAUUUAUGCAGCUAAGCACCGUAAGGAUUUAGAGCUACAUAUGGGCAUACCUUAAAAUAAGGACAUUUCAGGAGGAGCCUAAGACUCAGAAGAUAAAGGAGCUUAAACCGAGAUACAUGGAAUUGUAUCCUGCACUGGAGUGGAUUGGAUUAGUUGCUUGCAGUUACUUUAUCAGCAGUAUAUCAGCCUUCUAGGACUUGGUUCAUAUGACAGCAUUGCAAAAGUUGAGAAGGCGCUAUAAUUAUUUUGCAGUUGACGUCAAGUGAGUUCAUAAAGAUUUUAUGGACCUUAUCAUCUAUUAAAGAUUUUGGAUCAUCAAGAGAAAACAGUUCGGGGAAUAUCGACUGUGUUUGUCCGAGUUCGUUGGGGAGGGAGAUAAGACUCAGGAGGAGACCUGAAAGGCCGAGCGAAGAUUAGUAUUCGAGGUUUUGCUAUGAUGACAUUGGGCACGUCAACUUAUGACAUGAAUUCGGGGACGAAUUCCUUAUAAGUGGGGGAGAAUUGUAAUGACCCACCACUCCCACCAUCUCCACUUCUUUCUCCAACCCCACCACUUCCACCUUCUCUUCCACCAUCUCCACCUUCUUCCCCACCAUCUCCAACUUCUAUAAAACUUAAGAAAGAGAGAGAGAGAGAGAGAGAGAGAGAGAGAAGAAGAAGAAGAAGAAGAGAGAAAUCUCACAUGAGCUCGUCGCCGGAGCCACCACACGCCAGGACGUCGUCAAGCUCGUCACCACCAUCAUCCGCAACCAAAGAUUUGGAGUCCAUUUGAGCAGCUGGAGGUCAUAUAUACCACUUCUCUUCAUUGCUAAGGUGAGACCGACGAGCAGGAGUGAUUAUACCGGACCGGUGCUUUUGGGCUUUUACUACUAUUGGGCUUUUGGGCUUCUAUCGUUUUAUCGCUUUUAUCGUUAUCGGGCCUCUAGGCCUUUGGGCUUUUAUCGUUUAUGUUAUUUCGUAUUUCGGACUCUCGGUUUAUGUCGUACUUUAUGUUUCAGAUUUAUUUUAUAUUAUGGAAUUCAAGCGUGGAUGUUGAUUUUCAAAUAUUUAUAUAUGGAUAUUUCAGAUA